CUAUAAAAGAAAGGUAAAAAUGUAGAGAACUUAUUUGAACUAUGGAUCAUUUUGAACAUGCUAUCCAACCUUUUAAAAUUUUAAUUUUACUAUCCAAUCAUUUUAAUUUAUUUGAUUUACGCUAGUGAACAAUACUUUGAAUUCCAAAUGUCAGCUAAUUAUUUACUGUAAUUUACAGUAUACCAACUAAAUAUGUAAAGUGUUAAAAUCGGAACGGCGAAAAAUAGAUCCAGAAAAUAAUUUAAUGCAAGAAAAGAAAAGAUAAGGAAAGAACACACCGAUAUUUACGUGGUUCGGCCAACGGCCUACGUCCACGGGCGAAGACGGAGCAAAUACUUUAUUAAUGUCGAAAAGGCGGAGUACAAGAAUAUCACCCGAAAGAUCCGAAAACCA
rnacentral:lncRNA from 1 species